rnacentral:lncRNA from 1 species
CAGAGGACAUCACUGCCCUGAUGUUGCACAAGGACAACAUGGGGGCACAAGAGCGUUGGCUUGUUUCUCUUUUGAAUUCCUGAUUCAGAAAGCAAUGGGUUCAGGGUCUUGGUGGAUUGUGAUUGAUCUACUCCUGUGGAGAGAAACUCCAACCUCCUGGAGUCUCUUGCCAAGACAUCAAGGAUCUCAAGGCACUGCGGGGCCUGAACAAGGACGACAGGGAUGUGGAUCACCCAGCCUUGUCCUCAGACGCCUAUAAUGUCUCCCUGGGAGUCUGCAGUGAGGUUUGAGCACAGUCAAGAAGAGAUUGAGGAACAUUGAAGGAAGACCAAGGCUGCCCCUCUUCCCUGGAUAUUCUCCCAGAACCCUGAGCCAUCCCACCCUGGGUCUGCAUUAAAAUCUCAGAUAUCAGGCUAGCACCUAAGGCAAGAAGCUGGAGGGAGCCAUUGUGAAGAUGUUUGUAAGUUUCUCUGCAGAGGAAAUUGACAACACAUCAGAUUUUCCAAGCUGCUUUCCAAAGCCCUGUGUUAAUGGAUCUUCCAGGAGCCCUCUCUUAACAACCUGAGAGAAAGAUUUGGGUCUCAGCCUUUGCCUCAAUGCACAGGCUGAUGUCUGUGUGGGCAGCACAUGGGCGCUGACCAACCCUCCCUCACCUGUGUAGUCUCAACCUCCUGGCUGCUUUCCAGCACUGUCUCUCCCAUCCAUGAAAGCAAAUUGGAAUAAAAGUUAUUAUGAGGCCAUCUAAGA